GCGCGGGCUGCAGCCACCAAAUGACAUUCUGCUGCCUGCAACUCUGUAAUCGCUUUUGGAGGGGAUAUUAUGUUAAUAUCUCACACAAGAGCCUCCGAUCAGGCAGAACGUCAGGGCGGCCAGGCCCAGGCCAUAUGGUGCAUCCAAGGUCCUCCUUUGUAAUCCUGGGUAAUUGAAAUCCUCUUCCUCAUUCGGACGUGGAAAGCCUUCCUCGUGCAGAGUACCUCAUGAGAAUAAGAUGCUGAAGAAUCAAGGUCUUUUGACCUGUGUCCUUGACUCCAAAGCAGUAGCCCUCCAACCCAGGCACCUGGGUGCCUGUGACCUGCUUGCUGGUAAAAGAGUGCUGCUGGAUCCAGGAGUGGUGAGGAGCUCUCUCCGCCUUGUGGCAGCUGGGCUGGCAGGGCGGCCGGGAGGGCAGGGACCAGGCUGCCUGGGUUUGAAGCUGAUCUCUCCACUUAGCACGGGUUACUCUGAGCCAGAACUUCGAGCUUCUGAUCUGUAAAAUGGGAGUAAUCCAGUGUCUACCUCGUGUGGUCGGUUAUGAAGAUGAGGUGAGUUGAUACAUACCGAAGGUGGUUUGAACAGGGCCUGGGGUGCAGCCACUUCAAGGGCUGCUAUCAUUACCCUCUCCCUUGGUUCCAGUGGCUUGUGAACAGAGCCUCACUACACCCAAGUGCUGGAGGAAAGGGAACAAGCUCAGAGUGUGAGAGAUGCUCUCUUGUGACCUAGUUAGUGUCUCGCUGGAGGGCUGCUGGUCUUGCUGGCAAGUGAGGGACAGACGGGGUGCCUACUGAGUCCUUGCAGAUAACCUGGGCCUGGGCUGGCCUGGGCCAGCCUCCUCACAUACCAGCACCCAGACCCAAGUGGGGGCUACUGGACCUGCUUAGGUCAGCGGCAUGGAGGGGGCCCACAAGCCAUCAGUUCUACCCCAAGGUUGCCUAGAGAAACUUCAGAGAAACACACACUGGUGCUCACAAGCUGUGCCCGCAAAUGCCUAAAAGAGCGCUGUUUGGAUGGCCAAUAGCUAGGUACCAUCCAUAGGCCCACUGACAGCAGGAUGGGUAAGUAAGUUGAGUCACAGACACAGUCGAAUACACCAUGAACUUGUGAGAGCAAAUAAAGUAUAACCACAUACUGGGAGAAAAUAUUUGCAGAUGAUGUGAAUGAUAAGGGGUUAAUAUCCAACAUAUAUGGGCUUCCCAGGUGGUGCUAGUGGUAAAGAAUUCGCCUGCCCAUGCAGGAAACGCAAGAGAUGUGGGUUCGAUCCCUGGGUUGGGAAGAUUGCCUGGAGUAGGAAAUGGCAGCCCACUCCAGUAUUCUUGCCUAGAAAAUCCCAUGGAUAGAGGAGCCUGGCGGGCUACAGUCUAAGGGGUUCACAGAGUUGGACUCAACUGAGCAACUGAGCACACACUCGUCCAACAUAUAUAAGCAGCUCACAUGUCAAACAAACACACGGCCCCAUUAAAGAAUGGGUGGAAGAACUGGAGACUUUUCUAAAGAGGAAAUGCAGAUGGGCAAAAGCGCAGGAGAAGAUGUUCGACAUCACUAACCAGCAGAGAAAUGCCGAUCAAAACCACCUCACACCUGUCAGCGAGGCUACCGUUAGAGCACAAGUUACAAGUGCUGGCGAAGGUGUGGAGAGAAACCUCCUGCAUUGGUGAGGGUGUGAACUGGGGCAGCCACUGUGGAAACAGUGUGAAGCUUUCUCAGAAAACUGAGAGUCGAAUUAUGAUAUGAUCCAGCAGUCCCACUCCUCGGUGUAGAUCCAAAAAACCCAAACACAUGGAUUCAGAAAACGCAUGCACUCCAGUACCCACAGCAGCAUUAUUUACAGCAGCCAAGCUGUGGAGGCAACCUGAGCGCCCAUCAGCAGGUGAGUGGGCAGAAGAAUACAUGAGAUACAGAUGUAUAUAUAUGCACAAGGAAUGCCACGCAGUUAUUAGAAUAAGAUGUCGCCAUUGGCAGCAACAUGGAUGGACUUGAAGGACGUUAUACUAAGUGAAACACGCCAGUCAGAGAAAGACCAAUACUGUUUGAUAUCACUUCCAUGUGGAAUCGAAAAUAUACAACAUGCUAGUGAAUAAAACAAGAAAGAAUCAGACAUAGAGAACAAUCUCGUGGUUAUCAGUGUGGAGAAGGGAGGGGUGUAGAGGGGUAGGGAAGCAAGAGGUACAAACUACUAGGUAUAAAAUAAGGGAAAUAAGAGGCACAAACUUAGAUACAAAUACGCUACAAGGAUAUACUGUACAACACAGGACAUGUAACCAGUAUUAAUAACUUUAGAGAAUAUAACCUUUAAAAAUUGGGAAUCACUGUAUUGUACAUUUGUAACAUAUAACAUUUCUGUACGUCAGCUAUUGUUGUUUAGUCGCCAAGUUGUGUCUGACUUUUUUGCGACCCCACACUCUCUGUCCAUGGGAUUUCCCAGACAAGUAUCCGGGAGUGGGUUACUAUUUCCUUCUCCAGGGGAUCUUCUUGACCCAGGGAUCAAACCUGUGUCUCCUGCAUUGGCAGGCAGAUUCUUUACCACUGAGCCCACCUGGGAAGCCCAAUUUAGAAAAAAAAAAAAAAGAAACUCUGCAGCCACGGGGGUCAACAUGGCUAAACUGGAGAUGCAGGCUACUGAACUUAAAAUGCGAGUUACAGAAGGGUCCAAGGUGCAUUUCUGAUAAAGCUUGGGAACAAGAAAAUAAGCACGUAAGCACAUUGGACACACAGUGUAUUUGGUACACACAAAAAGUGAAGCAAGGGGAAGAGACCAAAUGAAACGCAGGGUGUGGUCAGCUCACAGCGGGUUUAGACAUGUGGGGAUGGGGGCGGGGAGGGCAUCAAGGUGGAUCCGCCUCAGCGAGGGUGGCCUCGGCAAGUUCUAGUGCCUACAUGGAAUGGAGGGGUUAUGGGUAUUUGUUUCAUCAUCAUGCUUUAUGAUUUAGUAUAAACUGCAUUCUCCCACUCCAGUAUUCUUGCCUGGAGAAUCCCAUGGACGGAGGAGCCUGGUGGGCUACAGUCCAUGGGUCGCAAAGAGUCAGACAUGACUGAGCGAUUGACUUCAUGAUUAAAAAGAAUUUAUUUUCAGAUCUAUAGUGUUCAGGUUAAAGCUUGUCAGACACAUUAAGAAAAGCCUGAUAUUCCUAGUCUUUAUAUAUUAUCAAAAUGACUUAAGAGUCUGUGUGUUUAUGCCGAAGAACUACAAAGGAAUGCAUAAAACUAGAAAUAAUCCAUGUGUCAGAACAGUGAAAUUAGUGAGAGUCCUUUCCUCUUUUUCAUCAAAUCAUUUUAAGAGUUGUUGGAAUACUGAUUCCAUAUGAAAAAUAAACUUUGUUUGCAAUAGGAAAAAAAAACUGCAUUCAGUUAUCCCUGUGAAAUAGUUCAUAAUAAAAUGUUAAAAUGCUUCAAAAGAGAAUGCUGCUUGACUUUGCCGUUAGUUAUGUUUCUCCCCUCCUUCCCUCUUCUUCCCUUCUUCCUUGCCUUCCUCCUUCCCUCUUUCUUUCCUCCUUCCUUCCCUCCUUA
rnacentral:lncRNA from 1 species